rnacentral:rRNA from 1 species
ACGCUCGACACCUACCGGAGGCAGCAGUGAGGAAUAUUGGUCAAUGGGCGCUAGCCUGAACCAGCCAAGUAGCGUGAAGGAUGAAGGCUCUAUGGGUCGUAAACUUCUUUUAUAUAAGAAUAAAGUGCAGUAUGUAUACUGUUUUGUAUGUAUUAUAUGAAUAAGGAUCGGCUAACUCCGUGCCAGCAGCCGCGGUAAUCUGAGCGGGCUGGCAAGGC